ensembl:lncRNA
ACAUGACAGGUUUAUCAGUGAAUGAAAAUCACAAAUUCAAUAAACUACACUUGAUAUUUUUGCCUAAACUUGGGCCAAUGUGAGUACAAAAGCUUACAAUAAUCUGACUUUUGAAAUUCUUAAUAGAAUAUUUGCAAAGGUAAUCAAAGAAUAAGUAAUAGAUUUUUCAUACAUUUUUAAAAGAGCAAACAAAACUUGGACUCCUUAACUGGAGGGGAAAAAAUGCUAACACAUUUCACAUAAUCAUCCAGUCUAGGGUGAGUGUCUGAAAUCUGCCAUUUUCUUUAAUCUGUGUGUGAUAAAAUUCUAACCCAGUCUCUUCUGUUUCUGAGGGAAUGCAGGCUUUCUUAGCUCUACCCAAAGACACAGUCUCUCCUGUGGCCCGUUUGGCCAUUUGGAGGGAGAGUGCAUUCUGAAGAUUCCAACUGAUAUCAGGAUAGAAAAAUCAGACUGGGGACCGUUUUCCCUUUGGUUAAGGAUUUUAUGUUAGACCCUCUUAAAUAUAAAUCUCAAAUGAGGUAAAGGGUGUGAAAGGUAAAUAAACUAAACAUACAACAGCUUGUAGUGAGGUAUACCAACGAGGUAUAUGAAUAUGUCUUUAGAAUAUGAUUAAGUAUGUAGAAAGGUGAUUAGGUGAAAAUGUAUCCAUAUUCAAGACUGUUUUAUCAACUGAAGAUUGGUAUUCCUGCGUUCUUCCCUGGAAGUUCAGAUUUGCAUGUGUACAUGGUUUUGAUGCUAAUAGAGAGCAAAGCUAAAUUCCUCUACAGUUAAUGGUUCACAUUGUAGACCUCCCUGCCCCCUUUAACAUCCAAGGACUUUACUAACUGAAUCCAAAGUCUGGUUAUUUGAGAAGACCAAGAAAAUAAAAAUGAGACAGAACAAAAAUACAUGAGACAAAAGAGCUGACCAUUGUCACUUGAUGGAAGAGGUUACUAAUAAAGGAAUGCAGCUCUACUACAACAGAGUUACAAAGCUCAGGUGUUACAGAUGAUUUACUAGCAAAAUACACCAAAAUUUAUCCAAGAAGUGGAAACCUUGAAUGUACCAAUUAGCAGAGAUCAAAUUAAGUAUAAAAAUUUAAUAUUAAAAGCCUGAUAUGAAAUAUAUAAAAAUAAGACAUCAGUCUCAUUUACUGAAUAAGUGCAAUUUUAUGGUAUUUUUUUCACCAGUAACGGAAAUCUGGGCUCUCUGUUCCUCCCCUUAGACAGUCACACCAUCCUUGAGACAUGAUGAUCAAGUGUGGAGUAAAUGGAUUUGGCUGUACUAAACACCUGGUCGUCAGGGCUGUUUAUAACUCUCACAGGAUAUUUUGGAUAUUGUUAUUGACCCCUUCAUUGAUAUCAGCUACUUAGUCAACAUAUGUGUAUGUAUGCUCAGUUGCUAAGUUGUGUCCAAUUCUUUGCAACCCCAUGGACUAUAGCCUGCCAGGCUCCUCUGUCCAUGGGAUUUUCCAGGCAAGAAUACUGGAACCCCAGGUUGCCAUUUCCUACUCUGGGGGAUCUUCCUGACCCAGGGGUCUAAGCUGUGUCUCCUAUGUCUCCUGCAUUGGCUGGCAGAUUCUUUACCUGGGCAGCCCACUUAGUCUACAUAUUCUAGUCAACAUAUUCCA